rnacentral:rRNA from 1 species
UGGGGAAUAUUGGACAAUGGGCGCAAGCCUGAUCCAGCAAUACCGCGUGAGUGAUGAAGGUCUUCGGAUUGUAAAGCUCUUUUAGUAGGGAAGAUAAUGACGGUACCUACAGAAAAAGCACCGGCAAACUUCGUGCCAGCAGCCGCGGUAAUACGAAGGGUGCUAGCGUUGUUCGGAAUCACUGGGCGUAAAGCGUACGUAGGUGGUUAGGUAAGUCGAUUGUGAAAGCCCCGGGCUCAACUCGGGAAUUGCAAUCGAAACUACCUGGCUAGAGUAUGUUCGGGGAUAGUGGAAUUUCUAGUGUAGGGGUGAAAUCCGUAGAUAUUAGAAGGAAUACCGGUGGCGAAAGCGACUGUCUAGGCCAUUACUGACACUGAGGUACGAAAGCGUGGGGAGCAAA